GGGGAUGUGGCUCAGCGGUAGAGCACUGCCUAACACGCAGGCAGUGCUCUGAGUUCCAUUCUCAGCCUUGCAA
rnacentral:tRNA from 1 species